GUGGGGAAUCUUGCGCAAUGGGGGAAACCCUGACGCAGCAACGCCGCGUGGGUGAUGAAGGCCUUCGGGUCGUAAAGCCCUGUCAGGUGGAAAGAAACGUGCAGAGGUAAAUACCUUCUGUAUUUGACGGUACCAUCGAAGGAAGCACCGGCUAACUCCGUGCCAGCAGCCGCGGUAAUACGGAGGGUGCAAGCGUUGUUCGGAAUUACUGGGCGUAAAGAGCGUGUAGGCGGUUGGGCAAGUCAGAUGUGAAAUCCUUCCGCUUAACGGAAGAAGUGCAUUUGAAACUAUCCGGCUGGAGUACGGGAGAGGAGAGUGGAAUUCCCGGUGUAGAGGUGAAAUUCGUAGAUAUCGGGAGGAACAUCGGUGGCGAAGGCGGCUCUCUGGUCCGAUACUGACGCUGAGACGCGAAAGCGUGGGGAGCAAACAGGAUUAGAAACCCUGGUAGUCC
rnacentral:rRNA from 1 species